AAAGAGCUAAAUGAAUGGGGAAAGAGCUCAACUCUGUCUACUUUCCAUCCUUUUCAAUUGCUCGUAUAUUCCCUGUCCGAUUUCUUUAACAUUAUAUGUUCAGCUGUUCAAUUAAGGAGAAGCCAAUUCUGGACCAAUUGAGAGCGGUUUGUAAUGCAAAUUUCAUGGUUUGAUAUUGAGAAUUCAUAGUCCUGGCCAUUGUUGGUGAUGUGGUGGAGGUGUUAAUUUUAUUGUUUUCACAUCCAUCAGUUUUUAUUAGGUUCCUGAAUUUGAUCGGAUCCAUUUCUACCCUCUGCCUAUUUACGUUGUGGUGUUGGUGUUCCAUUCGCCGGUGUCCAAAGGUAUCUUUCUGUUGUUGUCCAAAUAUCUGCAAGUGAGCAUCUGACGACACUCGGUGGCCCAUUCACAUUUUAUUUUUGAAUGUGAGUUAAUCAAUGAAAUUCGUAUAUUCUCUUGAGUUCUUUUAUAGCGCAUAACUUGUUUGUGAAAAAGUCUGAAUGGUUUUAUAAUUGAUUCAUUCAAUUUAUGCAUGAGGAUUUCAAAUUAUUUCAAAUCAAGAAAUAGGUAUUCGCUAAACAUAUUGAUUUUAUAAAUAAUCAUCUUCAAGUCAGCAAAAUUUGAUGUUUUAUCAUGCACUUGUAAUCAUCUCAAAAGUCUUAUCCCGCUUGUCACCCCCAUAUAUUGGUAACUCCACCUGGAAGACAAUCAGGCGAUGAAGGACCCGAUAAAGAACCUCGAACACAUGUUGAACUCCCUUGUCCUAUUCCAAAUUAAAGUUGAUUUGUGCUGCCAUACUGAAGUUGGAAGAUAUGUGCUAUAUCUCAAUCUCUCCACAACCUUAAAUAGAAAUUUCCACAGUAAUGUGUAUAAUGGAAUAGUCUUUCAAUGCCCAUGAUGUAUGUGCAUGUUUCAGUUUCAAAAUGUGAAUGGUCCUAUAAAUUUCAAUUAUUAUUAUAACUAUAGUGGGAGUUACUAAAAUGAGGUGGAGUCAUGCAAGUGAGUUGGAAGAGAUGGCAUUUUAUCACAUUUAAUAACUACAUUACGUUACAAAUGAAAUUGACAAUAUGUUUAAUCUUUCAAUCGUCUUAGUAGUCGAUAAUAGUUUCUGACGGUAGCAUCAUUUGCUAUAUGAUGACUUGUAAUAGUAUAUGAUUAAUUUCUUAAUAUUGGACUUGAUGAUCA